UCCUCCUCUGCAAACCCUAUUUCUUUUUUGCCGCAUCCUUUCCUCUCCAACUUUCUUCUUCGUUUUCCUGUCUUCUGAUGUAUGCAAAAAGAAUCAAUCUUCUUCGUUUUCCUGUCUUUUGAUGCAUGCAAAAAGAAUCAAAGAUGCAACACAUAAAGGGUUCACCGUAGAUUUUUCUUUGUUCUUUUGUUCUGUAUUGAUUGUGUUCAUCUUUGGUUUUUGCAGGUGAGGGUUUAUCUCUGUUUAUUUCGAUUGGGGGUUGGGCUUUUUAACAGUACCAUAUGCCUUCAACUGAUUCUUGAUAUAUCUCAUUAUGUUAUAAUUUUGCAGGUAAGGGUUAAUCUCCCAGCACUAGAUGUAAUUGGGAGUGUAGGGAGUUAAUUUGUGGGGUGACUUUUAUCCCAACAUGUAUGUAGUCGGAUCGGUAGUUCUCCAAAACUCAUGCAUUUUAAAAUCCAGUAUCUACAUAUCACGAUGCUCAUCAAAGGACAUCAACUUUGUCGACCUCACGUAUAGGAACUUUGAAAUUGUUAAGGAUCAUCAGAUACGUAGACCUAAGCACUGUCUCCAAACAUCAAACUGUUUCCAGCUCUUAUGCAUGUACAUUUUCAUUGAUAAACAAGUGCUCGGGUUCAACUCAUUUUAUAAUUUUGUGGUUUGGUAGAAAAUAUGAAAGUCUGUGUGUUACUGGACAUUUGGGAAUGUUUGAAAUUUAUGGAGCUCAUGGUUUGUUCCAAAAAAGAAAAGAAAAGAAAAGAAAAAAAAACAAUCUAUGAGCAAA